CCUACGGGUGGCUGCAGUGGGGAAUAUUGGACAAUGGGGGGAACCCUGAUCCAGCCAUGCCGCGUGUGUGAAGAAGGCCCUCGGGUUGUAAAGCACUUUCAGUGAGGAAGAACGCCUGGUGGUUAAUACCCAUCAGGAAAGACAUCACUCACAGAAGAAGCACCGGCUAACUCCGUGCCAGCAGCCGCGGUAAUACGGAGGGUGCGAGCGUUAAUCGGAAUUACUGGGCGUAAAGCGCGCGUAGGUGGCUUGAUAAGCCGGUUGUGAAAGCCCCGGGCUCAACCUGGGAACGGCAUCCGGAACUGUCAAGCUAGAGUGCAGGAGAGGAAGGUAGAAUUCCCGGUGUAGCGGUGAAAUGCGUAGAGAUCGGGAGGAAUACCAGUGGCGAAGGCGGCCUUCCGGACUGACACUGACACUGAGGUGCGAAAGCGUGGGUAGCAAACAGGAUUAGAUACCCCAGUAGUC
rnacentral:rRNA from 1 species